AUCUUUGUGCUCGGGCAUGUACGCUCACCAGUGAAGUUCCGACUGAGGUAGCGUCUUUUGCUGAUUGCAAAUUAAUUUCCGACCCGUCUGGUUGCUUCGGCUUCCAGCAAUUUUUGGAA
rnacentral:snRNA from 1 species